GUGGGCCCUACUAGCUCAUUUUCUCUCCCCCACGUAUUCUUCUCCCUGGUUCGAUUCACCAAAACCGCUCGUCUCUCAGCCUGUCUCGCCGCGCCGUCCAUCUGCCGGAGCUCACCGCUACCGUACGUGCUGAUUCAAGACCCACCGUCCGUCGUCGCGAGGGCGAGGUGAGCCACGUCUUCUUCUUCCUCUCUCCUCUGUCUUCUCUUUCCCAUCCACGCACAGGAGGAGCAGCAGGCCGACGCAUGCCGAGGCUUCCUCGCGUGAGCACCUCGCUCCGUGCCCAACCAGCCCCGUCCGGCUAGCCGUCGGGAGCUCGCCCCUACGCGGGGUGCCUUGCCUGCCACGGAAAAGUUGGUCGAGCGUGCCCCUGCGCAGUCUGUCCUAGCACGAUCGUGGUACAGACUCCCCCUCCGGGUCCCUGUCUGCGCGUGCCCUGUGCGGCCUGGCCGAUGGCGGUCGAGCUUUCCCCUUCCCCUGCGCAGCCCCUGCUCCAUCCCCUAUGGCCAUGGAGUUCCUGCGCGAGAAAGAAGAGAGACACGAAGAAGAUAGCAAUCUCGUAAAUUUAGUACACGCGAAUUACAGCAUACUUUGAAACAAUGAUAACUUUUGCGUUUUAAACCCGAUUCGAUCCAUUCAAGUUGCGUUAGAUUCGUAUUAAAAUUAUCUUAAUUUAGAAAUAUUUAUCCCAUUUUUUGCACAUUUUAUUUAAUAUAGUUAAAUAUUUGUUUAACCAGUGGCUACUAGAACAACGUUUCAAUUUAACAACCUAAUUUAGGAAUUCGAUUUGCGCAUUUAUAAUUAGUCACCAAUAUGAUUAACCUUAACUGAAAUGUUAUUUAUUAAUAAUUAUUUAGUUUAAUCACAUUGUUGAUUUAUUAGUUUCGCAUGUCGGUCCGCGUGUGCUGUGGUGCUGUUUCGCGCACGUCGUCGCGUGUCGUUCGCGAGUGUCACGCGUGUUGUUCGCACGCGUUGUCAUGUGCCGUUCGUGUGUGUCGCGCGCCUUGCCGCGUGCCGUUCGCGCGUAUCGCGCGUUGUCCGCGCGCUAAGUCGUUUGUGUCCGCGCGUUGCGCACAUCGUGUUUACACGUCGUGCGUCGUUAAUUCGUCUCGCUUAAAAUCGCUCAUAUUCAUUAAGUUACUUGCUUAACUGUCAACUAUUAAAAUAGUUAGUCAAAACUAAGUAGUAGUAUUAAUUUACAUUUGGUUAAUAUCAAUUAAUAUAAUUAUGUUGAAUUGGAUGUUCUAAUUAGUACUUGUUUAACGUAAACGCGCUAACCCCUCGACCGUAGCUUCGACUAUCGUGGUUCUUUUCCUCGCGUAACCGUAGAGGCGCUCUCUAUUUUAUAUUGCUCGCUUUUAUAACAUUUUAUCUUGUAUGGUGUAAUGUUCUUAUGCAUAUGUAUAUGUUUGUUUGCUUGUGUCUGUUCGUCUUCGCGUCGCGUUGCGAUUAGAUCGCGGUUCGUUUCAGAGCUCCGAGGAAUCGACGGUCAAGCUUCGGCGACCAAAUGAUCCAGUUCUUUGAGUUCUACGAGAUCGAAGACCCUGAGCAUCUGUUUGGUGAAGGCAAGUGUCCUCUGACCUAUUAUGUCCCAUUUACUUUAUAAUUCAUCAACCCGCAUACCAUGAUCAACCUAAGGAUUGACUAGCUUUGUAUUUACCUUGUCCUUGAUUACCUUUUGGGUUACUAUGGUUAGCAUUCUGCUAUUGCCUCAACUUAAUCAAUGAACAUGAUGUGACUAUUUAUGAUACUGUUAUCCUGAUGAUGUUGAUGAUCUUGUGAUACUCUAGGGGGCUCAGGUUGUUUCCUGAGUACCUCUCCGUAAGGACCUGUUCGUUGAGAGACCACCCGGGAUAACAGUGCAACCAUGAGGGUGGAAUGGGGUGCCCUUAGCUAAUUAAUUAGAGGAACUAGAAGUGUAGUUGCUUCGUCGUCGUGCCGUCAAUGGGGUCCAGGCACAGUGCUUGCUCUGCCGAGGCUGGGUGCCGAGGUUCUUUCGUUUUGCUUUUUAGUCACCCUCCUGCGGGGAGAGGUACUGUGUUUAUCAAACUGGAGAAACCUAACGGGCAGCUAUGACCUCUAGGGAAUCUUUGUAAAGGCUUCGUAGUGAAUCCCUGGCCAUUCACUUUGGGAGUGAAUAAGGGUCUUGCAAGCCCGGGCUAGAGAGGGAAUCACGGCUCAUGGGUAAAGUGUGCGACCUCUGCAGAGGGUAGUGAAACUGAUAUAUCAGCCGUGCUCACGGUUAAGAGCAGCCUUGGGAUCCUCUUUGAUUAGAGAUACAGAUGGUUCGGGAUACAAGGAUUAUGUUAUGGUUUUGGUUCGAAUAUGAUGAUGUUGUUCCUCGAUGAGGAAAUGGUUUACGGGUUGGUUAAUGCUAAAAUCUGGCUUCUACUAAUGAUAAAUACCUGACCAACUAAAAGCAACUGCUUGAGCCUAACCCCACAUAAAGCUAGUCCACUUCAGCCAAACGGGACAUUUGCUGAGUACGUUGAUGUGUACUCAUCCUUGCUUUACCACAAAACACCAGGUUGUCCGCAUUGUAACCACUGCUCCGGAGAAGACGAAGUCGUGGAAGGAGACUUCCAGGAGUUCCAAGACUACGACGAAUUCUAGGUGUGGAUUGGCGGCAACCCCCAGUCAGCUGCCUGUGAAGGCCUUAUCUUUACUGCGUUUCGCUAGCACUUUGAUUUACUUGUUAAGACAAUGACUAUGUGGAUGUCUAUGACUCUAUGAUGUAAUAAGUACU
rnacentral:lncRNA from 1 species